UACGAAGGGGGCUAGCGUUGCUCGGAAUCACUGGGCGUAAAGCGCACGUAGGCGGCUUCCUAAGUCAGGGGUGAAAUCCUGGAGCUCAACUCCAGAACUGCCUUUGAUACUGGAGAGCUUGAGUCCGGGAGAGGUGAGUGGAACUCCGAGUGUAGAGGUGAAAUUCGUAGAUAUUCGGAAGAACACCAGUGGCGAAGGCGGCUCACUGGCCCGGUACUGACGCUGAGGUGCGAAAGCGUGGGGAGCAAACAGG
rnacentral:rRNA from 1 species